rnacentral:rRNA from 1 species
UACAGAGGGUGCGAGCGUUAAUCGGAAUUACUGGGCGUGAAGCGCGCGUAGGCGGCUUUGCAAGUCGGAUGUGAAAUCCCCAGGCUUAACCUGGGAACUGCAUUCGAGACUGCAUUGCUAGAGUAUGGGAGAGGGAAGUGGAAUUUCCGGUGUAGCGGUGAAAUGCGUAGAUAUCGGGAGGAACACCAGUGGCGAAGGCGGCUUCCUGGCCUGUUCUUGACGCUGAGGCGCGAAAGCUAGGGGAGCAAACGGG